rnacentral:rRNA from 1 species
ACGCUCGACACCUACGGGAGACAGCAGUCGGGAAUAUUGCGCAAUGGAGGAAACUCUGACGCAGUGACGCCGCGUGCAGGAAGAAGGUUUUCGGAUUGUAAACUGCUUUAGACAGGGAAGAACAAAUGACAGUACCUGUAGAAUAAGCUCCGGCUAACUACGUGUCAGCAGCCGCGGUAAUCUGAGCGGGCUGGCAAGGC